AUUGCUGGAUCUCCAGAGAAUUCUAUUUUUAAUCUCUUGAGGGACUGUGACUUUGGAGCUUCGCACUGAGAGGAUCGUAUCUGCUCAAAAUAAAUACAAGAAGAAUGUUAAUGACCAGCUGAACUGGUGUGUCAGCAGGCGAUGUUGUUCAAAGAGCCGCGGGGUCUGGGGUAUGAUUUUGCCUGCAAGCCGUGUCAUGACUGACAGCUUUGCCAGGUUCCCUUCCUGCCAUAUUGACCUUGCUGACCUGCUUCUCUACCUUGGUGGUAUCUGGGGCUUAUAUCUAUGUCUCCUCAGCUGAGUGAAGACAUGGAGGAUGAGCUCUGGCCAUCGGAAGAAUGGAAGGUUUGCCUAUUCUGGAAAUUUCAUUUAAAUAGAGAAAUACACUACGUGCUCUUUGUGCCUGGCUUCUCUCACUCAGCACAAUAUUCUGGAGUUGCAUCCAUGUGGAAGCACGCAUCAAGACCUCAUUCCUUUGAUGGCUGAAUGAUACUCUUGUGCUGGCUGGUUUUGUGCCAACCUGGCACAAGCUGGAGUUACCAUAGAGAAAGGAGCUUCA
rnacentral:lncRNA from 1 species